rnacentral:rRNA from 1 species
GACGAACGCUGGCGGCGUGCUUAACACAUGCAAGUCGAACGGCAAGGCCCUGCUUUUGUGGGGUGCUCGAGUGGCGAACGGGUGAGUAACACGUGUGUAACCUGCCCUUGACUUUGGGAUAACUUCAGGAAACUGGGGCUACUACCGGAUAGGAGCCCCUGUUGCAUGGUGGGGGUUGGAAAGUUUCGGCGGUUGGGGAUGGACUCGCGGCUUAUCAGCUUGUUGGUGGGGUAGUGGCUUACCAAGGCUUUGACGGGUAGCCGGCCUGAGAGGGUGACCGGCCACAUUGGGACUGAGAGACGGACCAGACUCCUACGGGAGACAGCAGGGGGGAAUAUGGCACAAUGGGCCGGAGCCUGAUGCAGCGACGCCGCGUGCGUGAUGACGGCCUUCGGGGUGUAAACCGCUUUCGCCUGUGACGAAGCGUGAGUGACGGUAAUGGGUAAAGAAGCACCGGCUAACUACGUG